GGGGUAGCUGGUGCUCUCCUCGCGCGCUAGCUGUCCGCCUCGCCUCGCGCUCACCUCUCCUGGUUUCCGACCCCCGCCAUGGAAGAGGCUGAGACGGACGCCACGGAAAACUGUCGCGCCUCCGAGGCCAAGCGAGCCUCUGCCAUGCCUCCGCCGCCGCCUCCCAUCUCUCCGCCGGCCCUCACCCCGGCGCCCGCGGCCGGUGAGGAGGGCCCGGCGUCCCUGACCGAGGCGGGCGCUCCCGGCUGCUCCCGCUCUCGGCCCCCGGAGCUGGAGCCCGAGCGCAGCCUGGGCCGUUUGAGGGGCCGCUUCGAGGACUACGACGAGGAGUUGGAGGAGGAUGAGGAGAUGGAGGAGGAAGAGGAGGAGGAGGAAGACAUGAGCCACUUCUCGCUGCGGCUGGAGUCGGGGCGGCCGGACUCCGAGGACGAGGAGGAGCGCCUGCUGAACCUUGCUGAACUGACCCCGUACAUCAUGUGUUCUAUUUGCAAGGGGUACUUAAUAGAUGCAACUACCAUUACAGAGUGUCUUCAUACCUUUUGUAAAAGCUGCAUUGUAAGACAUUUUUACUACGGCAACAGAUGCCCAAAAUGCAACAUAGUUGUCCACCAGACCCAGCCUCUUUAUAAUAUAAGGUUGGACCGACAGUUACAAGACAUAGUGUACAAAUUAGUGAUCAAUCUAGAGGAAAGAGAAAAAAAGCAAAUGCAUGAUUUCUAUAAAGAAAGAGGUCUAGAAGUACCCAAACCUGCUGUUCCACAACCAGUCCCUUCAAACAAAGGAAAAACCAAGAAAGUCCUAGAGUCAGUGUUUCGUAUUCCACCUGAACUUGAUAUGUCUUUAUUACUUGAGUUCAUUGGUGCUAAUGAAGAUACAGGACACUUUAAGCAUUCACUGAGAUUUGAGCCAUUAGAAAAGAAGUUUGUGCGUGUUUCAGGAGAAGCAACUAUUGGGCAUGUAGAGAAAUUUCUUAGAAGAAAAAUGGGUCUUGAUCCAGCUUGUCAGGUACAGUACAUGUAGAUAUCAUCUGCGGUGAUCACUUAUUGGAACGGUACCAAACUCUACGGGAAAUCCGGCGUGCAAUAGGUGAUGCAGCAAUGCAGGAUGGUCUGCUUGUUCUUCAUUACGGUCUUGUGGUUUCUCCUUUGAAAAUAACAUGAAGAAUUGAGGGUAUAUGAGGAAGAAAAUGCAGUAAGGAUGCUUCUGCAGGUCUGCAUCACACCAAAGAUUCUCAGAAACAUGUAGCCACCACUACUUUGUGCUGUUAAGAGCUAGCUUCUGAUUUUCCACACCAGAACCCUAGCAUUGUGUGUACAACUUGAAACAAUAGAAUGUAUUUACUACACUAGAGACUAUAUACAAAGCACUCAAAACUCAGGGGAAAAACUGAAAACACUGAAUUUUAAAAUUCCUUGUGAUUCCAAAUACGAGGAAGUUGCUGGUUGCUUCCCAUCUUUGAGGUAGGUUGGUCAUCUGGCAGCUAGGAUUCUGCCCUCCAGGCUGCAUGGGUCGGGCAGGUGUCCUUGCAGAGCAGCUUUGCUUGAGUUCAAAGCCAAUCCGUUAAACCGCAGGGUGCACUCAGCACCAAAACUACUGUCCAUUACACAAUCCUGUCCUAUUCUAAACGUUAAAAACCAACAGUGAUCCUACUAAAGCAGUGUUAUCUAGCUCUGAGACAGUGGAGAGACUGUCUCUUGUUGGGUACGGCUCUUAACAUCCCUAAAUAUGAGGUGCUUCUCUGUGAUGUUUUAUUUGCAUAGAUCAGUGCUACUGGGACAGGUGUCAGAUGGGUUCCCUCAGUGUGGCUGUUGAUAAUGGCACUUGUCAUGGCACUGCUUCUGAAAGUAGCAAAAAAUUUCAGGUGAAUUACCAGAAGUUUACAGAAUCCUUAUUGUUUCCUCAGUCACUUACCUUAACUGGUUCUAUGUUUAAUGUUUGUUUUCUCAUCACUGGGAUAAAGAAUGAGAGUCUGAGAACCUUUCUUUCAUGAAGUAAGGUCAUGAAAUUUAUUUUAAACUUAAUGUUUAAAAUUAAUUUUAAGCAUUAAGAAGAAAUAUUUUAUAGACUCUUAUUUCACAGCAAAAUUUCCAAAUCUGUACAGAAACUUAUAAGAUUGAACUUACAUUGGCAGAUGUUUUGUAAAAAAUUUAUGAAAUUGUGUGUGAAUCUCUUCUGACAUUUAAUAAAAUUUAUUUU